rnacentral:rRNA from 1 species
GACCAAGAAGUCUAACAUGUGUGCGAGUCAUUGGGCAUUUUGUUGAAACCUAAGGGCGCAAUUAAAAUAACUAUUUUAUGGGAUUACAAGUGAAUUAAUUUUCAUUUCUCCAUCCCGGGGCGUUCUAUACGAACAUGGUUUAAGCAAUUGAACCCUCUGUUCAAGAGCGUACCUUGAGCAUACAUGCUGUGACCCGAAAGAUGGUGAACUAUACCUGAUCAGAUCGAAGCCAGGAGAAAUUCUGGUGGAGGAUCGAAACAGUUCUGACGUGCAAAUCGAUUGUCAGAAUUGGGUAUAGGGGCGAAAGACCAAUCGAACCAUCUAGUAGCUGGUUCCCUCCGAAGUUUCCCUCAGGAUAGCUGGCGCAAAGAAUUAUAUUAUAUAUAAUCUUAUCUGGUAAAGCGAAUGAUUAGAGGCCUUGGGGCCGAAACGACCUCAACCUAUUCUCAAACUUUAAAUGGGUAAGAACCUCAUCUUUCUUGAUCUGAAGAUAUUGGGGUUUAGAUAUAUUGUGCCCAGUGGGCCACUUUUGGUAAGCAGAACUGGCGCUGUGGGAUGAACCAAACAUGAUGUUACGGCGCCUAAAUUAAUGACUCAUAUUGAUACCAUGAAAGGCGUUGGUUGCUUAAAACAGCAGGACGGUGGACAUGGAAGUCGUAAUCCGCUAAGGAGUGUGUAACAACUCACCUGCCGAAGCAACUAGCCCUUAAAAUGGAUGGCGCUCAAGUCAUAUGCCUAUACAUCAUCGCUAGAAUAAAAAUUGUUGAUCAUUUGGUCAUCAUUAUGAAAUUCUAGUGAGUAGGAGGGUACAAUGGUGUGCGCAGAAGUGUUUGGCGUGAGCCUGCAUGAAGCCGCCAUUGGCACAGAUCUUGGUGGUAGUAGCAAAUAAUCGAAUGAGAUCUUGGAGGACUGAAGUGGAGAAGGGUUUCGUGUGAACAGUGGUUGAUCACGAGUUAGUCGGUCCUAAGCCUUAUGCGAAAGCUGUUUAAUUUAUGUUACACACAAAUAAUUUAAAAAAAUUGUUGUACAUAAUUCAAUAAAGGCGAAAGGGAAUACGGUUCCAAUUCCGUAACCUGUUGAGUAUACGUUUGUUUAUUAAAAAUGGGUCUUAUUACACUCAUCCUGGCAACAGGAACGACCAUAGAGAAGCCUUCGAGAGAUACUGGAAGAGUUUUCUUUUCUGCUAAACAAACGUAUCACCAUGGAAGUCUUUUAUAGAGAGAUAUGGUGGAUGGCUUGGAAGAGCAUGACAUUUACUGUUGUGUCAGUAUUUUCUCCUUGGACCUUGAAAAUCUAUGGUGGGGCCACGCAAACUUCUCAACAGACCGUACCGAUAUCCGCAG